AAUCACUAUAAUGAAGAGAACUGCAGGGCUAAUUCUUGUACCAGAAGACGGUGGGGAUGAAGAUGAAGGGGUUGAUUCUUUAUGGAAAGUAGUAGUAUAUGGAGACAUUGAAGAAGGAGAAAGAGGAGGCGGAUAUGUCAAAUAACCAUCUUUUUGCUUUAUUUGAUACUGAAUCCAUGACAUCUUCAAAUGGGUAUGCUCCAUGAGCCAUCUAUUCUCUCUGCUCUCUGACAUCCCACAGAUCAUAUGGCAACACCCAGAAACCGUAAA
rnacentral:misc_RNA from 1 species